GUCGAACGCUGGCGGCGUGCCUAAUACAUGCAAGUAGGACGCAGUUGCGAACGGUUUAGUAACGUGUAGGUAACUACCUAUUAGAGGGGGAUAACUAUUGGAAACGAUAGCUAAUACCGCCUACUAGUAGAUGGAUCUGCGUUGUAUUAGCUAGUAGGUAGGGUAAUGGCCUAUCUAGGCAACGAUACAUAGCCGACCGUGGGUGGUGAUCGGACACAAUGGGGAUGAGAAACGGGCCCGACUCCCACCGGAGGCAGCAGGAGGGAAUCAUCGGAAAUGGGGGGAACCCUGGCCGAGGAACGGCGCGGGAGUGGAGGAGGGUUUCGGAUCGUAAAGCUAUGUUGUUAAGGGAGCGGUACUUACACAGAAAGGGACGGCUAACUACGUGCCAGCAGCCGCGGUAAUUC
rnacentral:rRNA from 1 species